rnacentral:rRNA from 1 species
AACGAACGCUGGCGGCAGGCUUAACACAUGCAAGUCGAACGCCCCGCAAGGGGAGUGGCCGACGGGUGCGUAACGCGUGGGAACAUACCCUUUUCUACGGAAUAGCUCUGGGAAACUGGAAUUAAUACCGUAUACGCCCUACGGGGGAAAGAUUUAUCGGGGAAGGAUUGGCCCGCGUUGGAUUAGCUAGUUGGUGGGGUAAAGGCCUACCAAGGCGACGAUCCAUAGCUGGUCUGAGAGGAUGAUCAGCCACAUUGGGACUGAGACACGGCCCAAACUCCUACGGGAGGCAGCAGUGGGGAAUAUUGGACAAUGGGCGCAAGCCUGAUCCAGCCAUGCCGCGUGAGUGAUGAAGGCCUUAGGGUUGUAAAGCUCUUUCACCGAUGAAGAUAAUGACGGUAGUCGGAGAAGAAGCCCCGGCUAACUUCGU